UACGUAGGGUGCAAGCGUUGUCCGGAAUUAUUGGGCGUAAAGAGCUCGUAGGCGGCCUGUCGCGUCGGCUGUGAAAACCCAGGGCUUAACUCUGGGCUUGCUUUCGAUACGGGCAGACUAGAGGUAUGCAGGGGAGAACGGAAUUCCUGGUGUAGCGGUGAAAUGCGCAGAUAUCAGGAGGAACACCAAUGGCGAAGGCAGCUCGCUGGGACGGUACUGACGCUAAGGCGCGAAAGCGUGGGGAGCAAACAGG
rnacentral:rRNA from 1 species